AGUUAAUAUGUUAAUAAUUGAUUUAGGUGUUAUUGUUAUUAAGAAUAAUAUAUUAAUUAAAUUA
rnacentral:tRNA from 1 species